CAACUUCACUUCGUAGCUCGUGUCUGGCUUCAGGCCUGUGAUCGUUACCUCACCGAUGGAGCCUGUUACAACAGCAGAUGCAGUGCAAUCCCAGUUGAAAACACCUUGAUCAUUUUGGAGACAUUUAGGGGAAACAAACACCAGAGGAAAGGAGCCAUUAUUACCACUGCUCUUAAAACUCUGUCCUACCACAUUGUACAGGGCAGAGAUGUGCACUGUGUAGUCUUUGCUAUGUCUGUACGGAAACACAAAAGACUUUCCUGCCUUCACCGUGCAGGUGAAGACCCACUGCUGUAUCUGUAACAAAAAACAAGGCUAUAAGUGCAGACAUGAGGGUGUUCCAGACGAUAUAAUUGAGUUUCACAUGAGACGUCUAAACCAGGACUGCGUGAGACUGACAGCUGGUGCAGUUUCUUCGGUUCUACUGGCAGUGGUCAGCACAAAGCCAGACAAAGUGUGAACUACAAGACUGUCUCCUACCUCUCUCCCACUGUUUCACUUAAAAUGUGCUGUAAAUUUAAUAGAUUUGGCUGAUAGCAGUUGAUUCUUGUGCAUCAGUUUCUGUUAUGGCACUAAAAUGCCAGUCGGAGCUGGACUGUUUUAUCCUGAUCUGUGAUAUCAAAAUAAUAAUGAGGCCGUAUAAGGCUGUCAUUUUUAUUUAAAUAAAUAUUUUCAACGUCUUACAGUAUGUGUCCAAACAACUGUAGGGAUCCAAAUUUAUUUUGUCAUACAUGACCUAGUUUGGCUGCUCUCCCUUUAGUGACAUCAUGACCAAGCCGUGUUUCUGUGUCGAGGGUAUCAACAACUCAACUAAAUUACAUUUUAGUGCAUAUAUGGACAUAUUUGUCAAAAAAGAAAAGAAAUUACAUUCACACAGCCUUUUAAUCACUUUGGUUAUAAAACAAAAAGCUGCUGAAUGCAAACCUUCCUUCCUUUAAUACAGGUCAUCUUUUCUGAUAUGAUUUAACAAAAUGUGAAAAAUCUAAUUAACAUUUUUAACAUUAAUAUGCAUUUCUAUCUAUUUUGAAUUGUACUUGAGUAUUUAAAAAAAUGUAGUUAGACAUUAAAGAACAAACAAACAUC